rnacentral:rRNA from 1 species
UACGAAGGGUGCAAGCGUUGUUCGGAUUUAUUGGGCGUAAAGCGCGCGUAGGCGGACCUGCAAGUCAGAUGUGAAAUCUCGGGGCUCAACCUCGAAACUGCGUCUGAAACUACAGGUCUAGAAUCUUGGAGGGGGAAGGGGAAUUUCUCAUGUAGGGGUAAAAUCCGUAGAUAUGAGAAGGAACACCAGAGGCGAAGGCGCCUUCCUGGACAAGUAUUGACGCUGAGGCGCGAAAGCGUGGGGAU